UACGAAGGGUGCAAACGUUGCUCGGAAUUAUUGGGCGUAAAGCGCACGUAGGCGGCAUCGCAAGUCCCAUGUGAAAGCCCACGGCUUAACCGUGGAAGUGCAUGGGGAAACUGCAGUGCUUGAGUACUUAAGAGGAUCGCGGAAUUCCCGGUGUAGAGGUGAAAUUCGUAGAUAUCUGGAGGAACACCGGUGGCGAAGGCGGCAUCCUGGACCGGUAUUGACGCUGAGGAGCGAAAGCCAGGGGGAGCAAACGGG
rnacentral:rRNA from 1 species